GGUGUAAUGCGACUCGCUCACAGAGCGACAGGUUCACAGUCCUACAAACGCAGAUGACACC
rnacentral:ribozyme from 2 species